CUAACUAAUUUUUUUAUAUCAAUGUAAAAUUAAAAAUCAUGACUUGUUGCAAUGAGCAUAAAAAAAUACUAUCCAAAUAGAAUAACACAGAUGUUGAUGAUCAACAUAAGAGAGAAUUUACAAAAUAAUUUGAAGACUAUGUAAGUUUCACUAGUAUUAUAUUAUAUUUUAAUAAUUAUAAAAUUAAUUAUUUAAAUCAAUAUAAUUUUUUAUGUUAUGUUGUAAAUGAAAUCUAAGCAUUUCAAUAAAGAAAAGGGUACAACCGAUGAGUUGUAUUAUUUAGCAUGUGAUCCC
rnacentral:lncRNA from 1 species